ensembl:lncRNA
CAGGCCUCAGUCAGUCUCAGGGCUGGCUCCAGGCCUGGCUCCAGGCCUCAGUCGGUCUCAGGGCUGGCUCCAGGCCUCAGUCGGUCUCAGGGCUGGCUCCAGGCCUGGCUCCAGACCUCAGUCGGUCUCAGGGCUGGCUCCAGGCCUGGCUCCAGACCUCAGUCGGUCUCAGGGCUGGCUCCAGGCCUCAGUCGGUCUCAGGGCUGGCUCCAGGCCUGGCUCCAGGCUGAUGCUCACUAUGACUCAGACAGCAUGUCUUCUCUUGCUCAUGCUCUGGAUUGUAUUUCAAUCGCUUCUUAUUGGCCAUGAAGGAAGGGAAUACAGACAGACCUGCUGCAAUAGCGUUGUGAUGUGAUGUGUUGUGAAAGGCAAUUGUUGGUGUUGGUGUGUGUGUGUGUGUGUGUGUGUGUGCACUUACCUGUAAUACUAGACUGACACCUGAGUGGACACACACACACACACACCCCCUCCGGGCUGAGCCGCCCCUCGUUAUUAUCGGCCCACCGGGGGGCUGUUGGUCCACGCACACGUAGCCACACUUUAUUAGGUCCGCCUGUAUGUGUGUGUGUGCCCCAUGCUGUAGCGCACACAUCCUGUUAUUUACCAAAGGAUCAGGAGGAAACACCGGGGGACUUUUAUUUUGAAGGUAAUGUUGGACUGAAUGUUGAGCUCUGCCACCGACCGCCUUUACACGCUCCGGAUCUGUUGUCCUGAAAUCACCCCCCGUCACAAACAAUGACUGUUCACCGGCCAAACAUACGGGGGGGGGGGUGGCGCCGGGCUGUGGUGGAACAGAUAAAAACGAGCCCGUGUAAUUGGUCACGUUUCCCCCGCAGUUAGAGCGUGUUUACAGCGCUGACGCACAGGUGGUGAUGUCGUUAAUACCACCCUUCAAGGGUUUGAUGGGCUUUAAAGAUCGCUCAGUUAAUUAAGAGUCUGGCUUUAACACUCGCUCCCGUCGACAAAGAACCCUGCAACCUGUUAGUUUAGACACAAAGCAUAGACACACGGGACAUACCGCAGACGACCAUGAAUGAACUAAUGAUGAAUGAACUAAAUAACAAAUACCCUGGUCCAUGGUAUUUAUUAUUGGUUAAGCCAGGGCUUCCUUCUUCGUGUUCCACUGGUUGUUCCAGCUUGAAUCCAAACUCCAGGCAGCGGAUCUGGCCGCCAGAAUAACUUCCACCUAUUGUACGGUGGACGCUUUCAGGGCCUGCCAAGGCAAGGUGACAAAGACCAUGAUGCAACCUGGGAGAAAGCCUUCCCUGGGAGAAAGCCUUCCCUGGGAGAAAGCCUUCCCUGGGAGAAAGAGAGCCUCCCACCGUGGGGGGCCGGUCUGAGACCCUCCCACCGUGGAGGGCCGGUCUGAGACCCUCCCACCCUGGCCGGGGCCCCUGUUUACUGAUCCCGGGGAGGGGACUCAACACAUUCCUUCUGGUCGGCCUCGGACUGAGAGAACACGGCUCAGCCUGUGUGUGUGUGUGUGUGUGUGUGUGUGUGUGUGUGUGUGUGUGUGUGUGUGUGUGUGUGUGUGUGUGUGUGUGUGUGUGUGUGUGUGUGUGUGUGUGUGUGUGUGUGUGUGUGUGUGUGUGUGUGAGGGACCGCUUGUUGACUGGUAGCCGGAGGGUUGCUAGUUGGAUCCCCGGCUCCUCCCAGCUGUGUCGAGGUGUCCCUGAGCCACGCCUCCCCCUGACUGCUCCUCCCAGCUGUGUCGAGGUGUCCCUGAGCCACGCCUCCCCCUGACUGCUCUGCCGCUGGCUGUCGCGUUGCCCGGUUGCCUUAGGUGGGAGAAUGUGAGUACGCUCGUACGUCGCUAUGUACAAAGCGUCUGCUGAAGUGCCCUAAAUGUAAAACGGGUUUCUUCAGGCUGCUCCUCACUGGCCGGUGAGGCGUCACGUGUGUGCUGGUUGUUGUUCAGCUGUCCAGGGGGCGGGUUCUAAGGAUUCUGAACCCUCCCACAUGAUAAGGGAUUGAUUGGUCUCAAAUGACCCAAGGCCUCUUGCAAUUGGUUGGCGAGUUUCAACCCCCCCUCCCCAAUUGGUCGAUAAGCCAGGGCAGGACUUCCUGGAUCCCGCCCCCUCAGCUUUGCUGCCAUGUGACUUUGUUUAUGUCGGUUGGAAAAGUUCAGCUCCUGGAAUUGUGGACAUUUUCUCGUAAUGAGUUUCCUCCUCCUCCCUCCUCCUCCCCCUCCUCCUCCUCCUCCUCCCACUCCUCCUCCUCCUCCUCCUCCUCCUCCUCCUCCUCCUCCCCCUCCUCCCUCCUCCCCCCUCCUCCCCCUCCUCCUCCUCCUUCUCUCCCCUCUGGAGGAAAGCGGCUGCGAUAACAACACAACCACACCUAAGCUGGCAGAACAACAGAGCAUUAGUAGGGAAAUGAAGAGCUCACACACACACACACACACACAUACAUAUACACACGUACAUACAUGCACACAUCCAUACCCACACACAAGCAAUCACGCGUGUGUGUGUGUGUGUGUGUGUGUGUGUGUGUGUGUGUGUGUGUGUGUGUGUGUGUGUGUGUGUGUGUGUGUGUGUGUGUGUGUGUGUGUGUGUGUGUGUGUGUCACGUGUACGGCAGCAUGUGGUAAUAACAUCUCCUAAAGCGAUCCCAUGGGGCGCUGAUAAGACCGCUGGCCCUGAGUCAGACGCACAGGGGUCACACACGGUCGCACGCACCCAGAGAAGUGCAUGUUUACAGAGGCCCCCAACACCCCCCCGAUCUGACAUGAUGCAAUCUGGGGAAACACAGCGACUCAAACGCGGACACAAAUCUGCAUUUCAUUACAAAUAACUGUGCUUUGUGUAGUGUUUGUGUGUUUGUGUGUCCCGGAGCAUUGUGUGUGUGGUGUACUGUGG